UACGUAGGGGGCAAGCGUUAUCCGGAUUUACUGGGUGUAAAGGGAGCGUAGACGGCAGCGCAAGUCUGGAGUGAAAUGCCGGGGCCCAACCCCGGAACUGCUCUGGAAACUGGUAAGCUGGAGUGCAGGAGAGGUGAGUGGAAUUCCUAGUGUAGCGGUGGAAUGCGUAGAUAUUAGGAGGAACACCAGAGGCGAAGGCGACUCACUGGACUGUAACUGACGCUGAGGCUCGAAAGCGUGGGGAGCAAACAGG
rnacentral:rRNA from 1 species